GAUGAACGCUGGCGGCAUGCCUAAUACAUGCAGGUCGAACGAGAGGAAGGAAAGCUUGCUUUUCUGAAUCUAGUGGCGAACGGGUGAGUAACACGUAGGUAACCUGCCCAUGUGCCCGGGAUAACUUCUGGAAACGGAUGCUAAAACCGGAUAGGUAGCAGACAAGCAUUUGACUGCUAUUAAAGUGGCUAAGGCCAUGAACAUGGAUGGACCUGCGGUGCAUUAGCUAGUUGGUGAGGUAACGGCCCACCAAGGCGACGAUGCAUAGCCGGCCUGAGAGGGCGGACGGCCACAUUGGGACUGAGACACGGCCCAAACUCCUACGGGAGGCGGCAGUAGGGAAUUUUCGUCAAUGGGGGGAACCCUGAACGAGCAAUGCCGCGUGAGUGAGGAAGGUCUUCGGAUCGUAAAGCUCUGUUGUAAGAGAAAAACGACAUUCAUAGGGAAUGAUGAGUGAGUGAUGGUAUCUUACCAGAAAGUCACGGCUAACUACGUGCCAGCAGCCGCCGUAACAC
rnacentral:rRNA from 1 species